rnacentral:misc_RNA from 1 species
GACUCACACCAUGAACAUGCCCUGAAUGAUCAUCUCUUCUCUAGUGAGGGGAAUUGCUGCCCCAGUCAGUCUGCCUCAACGACUGGAAUGUGUUGUUCCAAACCUGGUGGAGCCUGUUGUGGACAAGGGAACAAUACAAUAUGCAGGUCAUCAGAUAGGGUGACUACUGAUGAGGAGGUGCAAAUUGAAGGUUGCUGUGAGCCUGCUACUGGGAGCCAUCUGGCAAACUUGCAAAAUAGCCAAUCAACAGUUGAACUUGCCAAAAUAUGUUGCUCUGAUUCCAAUGGAAAUGUUGCCUUGUCGCAUCAUGAUUGCCUGGAUCCAUUAGUCCGGUUUAAUGUUCCCUUGGUUGAUGUUGAUAAGGUCCGAUGUAUAAUAAGGAAUAUAGUAAGAGACUGGGCAGAUGAGGGACAAAAAGAACGUGAUCAAUGUUACAAGCCUAUUCUUGAUGAGCUUGAUUCUUUAUUUCCUAAUCGCAGCAAGGAUAGUCCUCCUACAUGUUUAGUUCCUGGUGCUGGUCUUGGGCGUUUGGCCUUGGAGAUUUCUUGUUUGGGUUUUGUAUGCCAGGGAAAUGAAUUUUCAUACUAUAUGAUGAUAUGCUCAAGUUUUAUUCUUAAUCAUGCUCAGACUACUGAAGAGUGGAUUAUAUAUCCUUGGAUCCACAGCAAUUGCAAUUCACUUUCAGACAGUGACCAACUUCGUCCUGUUUCAAUACCUGAUAUUCAUCCAGCAAGUGCUGGAAUUACUGAAGGUUUCUCCAUGUGCGGUGGAGACUUUGUUGAAGUGUACAGUGAUCCAACUCAAGUAGGAGUAUGGGAUGCAGUUGUGACUUGUUUUUUUAUUGAUACGGCACACAACAUUAUUGAAUACAUUGAAAUCAUAUCAAGGAUUUUGAAAGAUGGAGGAAUUUGGAUAAAUUUGGGACCCUUACUAUAUCAUUUUGCAGAUAUGUACGGGCAAGAUGAGAUGUCCAUUGAAUUGAGUUUGGAAGAUGUGAAGAGAGUUGCUCUACAUUAUGGGUUUCAGUUGGAGAAGGAAAGCAGAAUUGAGACAACUUACACAACAAAUCCAUUAUCAAUGAUGCAAAACCGGUACUUCACUGCAUUUUGGACAAUGAGAAAGAUGUCCAUGGCAACACAGAAGGAUUCUACACAAUAAUUACUUGCUCAGUUAUCAUAUUAUAUAAAAAUUAUUCCUUCCCAAAGUAUGCAAAUAGAUGAGGGUUUAGUUUCGGACACUUGUAUGUACGGGUCUAUACAUUGAAUUAUCUGCGGUUGUAGGCGCCUUCAUUUCUUGGUGAAGUCAUUCGCGUUGUGAGUAAUAAUUAAUUUGUAUUUGUACUGGGCUCUGAAGAUUUGCAUUGUGCGAGUUUAUCAUUGUUUUGCCAUAGAUUAUGGAUUUGUAUCAAGAAGACCGUACGAGUCUAGGAAUGCGAGAACUAUUUGUGCUAAUUUUUCUUUAGUCUUUAAUGAAAGGCAAAAAUCUAUCUCAAAUCCC